rnacentral:rRNA from 1 species
CCUACGGGUGGCAGCAGUGAGGAAUAUUGGUCAAUGGACGAGAGUCUGAACCAGCCAAGUAGCGUGAAGGAUGACUGCCCCAUGGGUUGUAAACUUCUUUUAUAUGGGAAUAAAAUGUUCCACGUGUGGGAUUUUGUAUGUACCAUAUGAAUAAGGAUCGGCUAACUCCGUGCCAGCAGCCGCGGUACUACGGAGGAUCCGAGCGUUAUCCGGAUUUAUUGGGUUUAAAGGGAGCGUAGGUGGAUUGUUAAGUCAGUUGUGAAAGUUUGCGGCUCAACCGUAAAAUUGCAGUUGAAACUGGCAGUCUUGAGUACAGUAGAGGUGGGCGGAAUUCGUGGUGUAGCGGUGAAAUGCUUAGAUAUCACGAAGAACUCCGAUUGCGAAGGCAGUUCACUGGACUGCAACUGACACUGAGGCUCGAAAGUGUGGGUAUCAAACAGGAUUAGUACCCCUGUAGUC